rnacentral:rRNA from 1 species
AUUGAACGCUGGCGGCAGGCCUAACACAUGCAAGUCGAGCGAGUGGCGGACGGGUGAGUAAUGUCUGGGAAACUGCCCGAUGGAGGGGGAUAACUACUGGACACGGUAGCUAAUACCGCAUACCCUCAGAUGUGCCCAGAUGGGAUUAGCUUGUUGGUGGGGUAACGGCUCACCAAGGCGACGAUCCCUAGCUGGUCUGAGAGGAUGACCAGCAACACUGGAACUGAGACACGGUCCAGACUCCUACGGGAGGCAGCAGUGGGGAAUAUUGCACAAUGGGCGCAAGCCGGAUGCAGCCAUGCCGCGUGUAUGAAGAAGGCCUUAGGGUUGUAAAGUACUUUCAGCGGGGAGGCGUUACCCGCAGAAGAAGCACCGGCUAACUCCGUGCCAGCAGCCGCGGUAAUAC